AGCAUGACAUCCCAUUUUACUAAUUGGCAACAUAUAGCCAUCUUUUAUUUUCUUGACAAAAAAAAGGUUUUUAAAAAUUAAAUUUUGCAAUUAGUAGCCCACGUGUUGGGAAGUUUUUUUUUAAUUAAAUUAAAUAAUUUUAGGAGGUGGCAGCAUGAUGUCCUUUUUUUUUGGGAAGUGGUUUUUUUCUGCCUUUUUUUUUCUCUUCUUUCCCAUACACG
rnacentral:lncRNA from 1 species